GACGGGGGGGGCAAGUGUUCUUCGGAAUGACUGGGCGUAAGGGGCACGUAGGCGGUGAAUCGGGUUGAAAGUGAAAGUCGCCAAAAAGUGGCGGAAUGCUCUCGAAACCAAUUCACUUGAGUGAGACAGAGGAGAGUGGAAUUUCGUGUGUAGGGGUGAAAUCCGUAAAUAUACGAAGGAACGCCAAAAGCGAAGGCAGCUCUCUGGGUCCCUACCGACGCUGGGGUGCGAAAGCAUGGGGAGCGAACAGG
rnacentral:rRNA from 1 species